rnacentral:rRNA from 1 species
UACGGGGGGGGCAAGCGUUGUUCGGAAUUACUGGGCGUAAAGGGCUCGUAGGUGGCCAACUAAGUCAGACGUGAAAUCCCUCGGCUUAACCGGGGAACUGCGUCUGAUACUGGAUGGCUUGAGUUCGGGAGAGGGAUGCGGAAUUCCAGGUGUAGCGGUGAAAUGCGUAGAUAUUGGGAGGAACACCAGUGGCGAAGGCGGCUCACUGGACCGGUACUGACGCUGAUGCGCGAAAGCGUGGGGAGCAAACGGGG